rnacentral:rRNA from 1 species
AUUGAACGCUGGCGGCAGGCCUAACACAUGCAAGUCGAACGAGUGGCGGACGGGUGAGUAAUGUCUGGGAAACUGCCUGAUGGAGGGGGAUAACUACUGGAAACGGUAGCUAAUACCGCAUACCAUCGGAUGUGCCCAGGUGGGAUUAGCUUGUUGGUGGGGUAACGGCUCACCAAGGCGACGAUCCCUAGCUGGUCUGAGAGGAUGACCAGCAACACGGGAGAUGUGACAGGGUCCAGACUCCUACGGGAGGAAGGAGUGGGGAAUAUUGCACAAUGUGCGCAAGCCUGAUGCAGCCAUGCCGCGUGUAUGAAGAAGGCCUUCGGGGUGUAAAGUACUUUCAGCGGGUAGGCGUGACCCGCAGAAGAAGCACCGGCUAACUCCGGGCCAGCAGCCGCGGUAAUUC